GGCACGCACAGGUGGGUGAGUGAGCGAAGUCCUCUGAGAGCGUUCUUAGAGAUGGAGCCGAUCUCAUUGUCCUCGAUGAAGCUGUGAAGGGAAGGGGGUGUGAGGGGGAGGCUGUCAGCUUCCUGCUGUGGCCCUUCGGUGCUUGGGGGGAUCACCCCAUGGACGCCAUUGCUGCCAGAACCCCCCACACCUUGCAUGAUCCCAAGAGAGGCCUUCUCAGGAACUCUCCUCACCAGGUCGCAGCUUACAGUCCCGGAGCCAGGAACCCAACCCUAUGGUGACAUCAGCCUCACCACUGUCCCCAGAAUCACCCACACCAGCACUAGCACUAACAUCUCCACCAAUACUCACCAUCCUCCAUUAUGACCAACACCCGUGCCUCUACCACUGUCAUCAUCCCUAGUGCCGGUAACUGCCAUUGUCACCCACACCACCCCAUGGUCACCACCCACUCCCACCAACACCAAUGCCAAUGCCUCCUCACCAAACCUUACCCCAGCAGCACCGAUAAGCAUGUAACACAACAGCCUUCAAGAUCAGUGCCAAAAUGACUGCCACCAUCAUCGCCAGCAUGGCCACCAUUUUCCAAAGCAACGGACUAACACUAGUGUUGCCAACACUGACACCACCAGCAUAAUCCCAGUGCCCAUGUCUUCACCAGCACCAGUACUGCCACAACUUCCAUGUGCCAGCACCCCCACCAUGGCCACCAAAUCCAGUCACAGCAACACGGCCAUUAUAUGACACCAGCAUCCGCAUCUACCCUUGGCCAGAACCAGCAGCGUCACCAAUACUGUAAUUACCAGUGCCCACAACCCCAACACUAAUGCGUCCACCGUUGGCACCAACUUCAUCCCCACACUGUCAUCUUCAAUAACUCCACCCCUUCUGUGAGAAGCAGGAACAGGACCGCUACCACCAUUACCAUCAACACCAAAUCAACACCACUGACAGCACGAUCCUACUGUCACCACCACCGCACACUGUUGUUUCAUUUCCACCACCAUUGCUACCACUGCCACUUAACUCAGAGCUCUUUGUUAAUUUGAAACAUUUCCCGUCUCUGGCCUCUUUGCACUCUCCCCAGGUUCCCGUAAGUGAAGUGGGACCAGAAACAGUCUUGGGAUAUCCAGGCCCUUUGUAGGUCUUGAAGCACAAAGAGGUGAGGCGAGCAGGCUGGGACUCCACAGCCGAGCAGGCACCUUGAGCCCCCCCAAGAGGCCAGUCUUCUUGCCCCUCCGGUACUGCAGGUGGGACAGGCCAGCAAAGGCAUCGUCCUCGAUCACGGAGAAGGAGUUGGACGUGAAGAGGCUGGUGAGGGAGCAAGGAAGAAAUGUUUCUGGAGUUGCUGCCCCCACCUGACCUUGUAACCUUGGCUCCCGCGGCGGGCGGUAGCACAUCAUGUGAGUAUGUGCGCAACACAGCUGCUUUCACAGUCACACACCUGCACAUACAUGUGCACGCCCCACGUGCCUGUGCAUGAGCCCCCACUCCCUCGGGCAUGUCGCCGGCUUUGCUGGGCCCUACUCACAGCAGGUGCAGCGUGGGGACCCUCUGGAAGCUGCCGGCCUUCAGCUGGGUGACUCCUGUCCGAACGAGUGAGCUGGGGACAUGUAGAUGGGGGUUGAGAAGAAAACCACUCCAGUGCUCCAAUCCCAUCCCAGAGCCACCUCCUGUCUGCGGAGACCCCAGACCCUGACCCUACAUCCCAGGGGAGACAGGUGUUUGCACGCUUUGCUUGGCAAGGAUCCUGGUGGUCCUCAGCCCACGGCUGGCUAACCCUCUUCCUGGGCCCUCAGCGCCACCCCUGCUCUUUGGCAUUCCUUCCAAAUCCCUGCAGCCCCCUUUCAGGCAUCCCGACAUUCUUUGCUGCCCACCUCCCAAGAUCCUGGAGGGCUCCUAUUUCUUUGGAGAACUGGUAUCCUGCCCCCCCAGCCCUGGGGCCCCAGGGCUCCAAGCCCCACCCUCAGGCCCUCCGAGGCCUGACACUCACAGUGACAGCAGGGUUGGGGAGAAGCUCUCAGGCAGGUCCAGGGAGCCCUCACACAGGGCAGUGUCUUUGGAGCAGGAGCAGCUCAGAGGACACUUCCCCUUUGGGGGUCUCCAGGCCACACCCACCCCUGCUCCCACCAGCAGCAGCAGGACCAGAGCCACCCCUCCCAUUCCCCCACCCCCACCGAGGCCCCAGCUUGCUCGGCCCCCCGCACAGCUCGGCCCAGGCCGGGGCCACUACCUCUCCCAGGCCAGGCGACCCUCCAUCCCGCCAGCUGGCACGCUCUGCCCUGGCUUCUCUCUCCCCUCUGUCUCCCUUUCAGUCUGUCCUUCCUGUGUCUCUCUGGUGUCCAAUUUUCUGUUUAUUUCUCUUCUGUCUUUGUGCCUCUCUUGUAUUUCUGACUCAGUGAGUUGGUCUCUGUCUCUCUGUCUCUGUGUCUCUGUGUCUCAGUCUCAGUUGGCCUGUGUGUGUGUGUGUGUGUGUGUGUGUGUGUGUGUGUGUGUGUGUGUUCCUCUGUCUGGUGUCUUUAUUUCUCCUCUUCCUACCACACCACCCCCUUUGCAGCUCCUUGUAACUCUCUUCCCCUCCUCCCACGCCCCUUCUCCCAGGGGGUUUGGGAAAGGGACUCGCUGGGCACCGGGUGCCCCCGGCAAACUAGGGUGAGAAGGAGGGGUCAGAGGCCGUAGGAAGAGCAGCCUCGGGAAGGAACCGGUGGCCCCAGGGAGGGGAGGGGCCGCAGGGGCAGGAGCCGCCGUGGCCACGCCCAGCCAGCCCCCUCCCCAGAUUCCCCAACCCCCCCCAACUCUGGGAGUCUGAAGAGGAUGCCACCAGGGUGGGGACCGGACGCCUCAGCGGGAAGGAGGGGGGUGGGAGGAGACCCCUGGGGGCCACGCCCAGCCAGCCCCCCGCCCAGCUCCGGGAGGGCGUGGCGGGGCUGUCACCGAGGCCCGGAGGGGCCAGCGCAGGGCCAGCUGCUCCCUCUGGUGGCCACACGCGGCAGGGCACCUGCCCUGCCCCAAGCCCACAGCCUUGCUUGCCUGUCCCACAUUAACCCCUAACCACCCUCUGGGGGUAAGGGCCCAACUCAAGGGAAAAAUGUAGGCGAUAAUGCCUCCCUCCUCCUCAGCUCUGCUUCAGUACGAGGCCCUAUUCUAAACGUUCAUGGAUCAGCUAGCUCAUUCUGACCCACCACAGCCCUCUGAAGUUGAUCCUAUUAUGUGACUUUCAUAGAUGGAGAUACUGAGGAGACAGGUGAAUUUGCAAUGUACGCCACCCAGCUGGGGCAGAGCCAGGACUCAAGCCCAGGAAGUCAGCUCCAGGUCCUCCCUGCGAGAUUUUGCACUUUCCUUGGAGAUCAGAACUCAUGGAUACUGGUUGUUUUCAUUUGGACUAAGCUUUUAGCAAUUUGAUUAGAGUCUGUCCAUCAAAAAAGAGAAGCAAAUGAUGCUUGUUAUCAAACUUGAAAUAGUAAUAAUAAUACUCACUGAACACUUA